rnacentral:rRNA from 1 species
GUCUGAUGUGAAAUCUCCAAGCUCAACUUGGAAACUGCAUCGGAUACUAUCCGGCUCGAGGAAUGGAGGGGAGACUGGAAUACUUGGUGUAGCAGUGAAAUGCGUAGAUAUCAAGUGGAACACCAGUGGCGAAGGCGAGUCUCUGGACAUUUCCUGACGCUGAGGCACGAAAGCCAGGGGAGCAAACGGG